CUGGUCUCGAACUCCUGACCUCAAAUGAUCUGCCUGCCUCGGCCUCCCAAAGUGCUGGGAUUACAGGCACAAGCCACAGCACCCAGCCUCACUGUGCCCUUUUCACUGGCAGGCAUUUUAUUGUCCCUACAGACCCAAGACGGGGUGGGGGAGACGUGCUUUGUGCUCACCUGGCUGGUUCAUGGGCAGGUGGCCUGGAGGACCCAGCCCUGGCAGCUGUGGGGUAGCUCCAGCCUGGGCCGGACAGGCACCACUGCGGACAUUGCUGGGAGGAAGAGGAGGGAGAAGCGACGGGCUUCAUUAGGAACGGAAAUGCCAAGAUUAGUGAAAGAAUGAAAAGAGUCAAAACAGCCUAGAAAAGGCUUCAAUGAUCCUCAAACUGGAUGAUCGAAUCCCGAAUAAUUGGGAAUCAACAGUAAAGGCCAAAGCUUUCGAUGGAUUGGACGAGGCGCGUCCACCCUGGGGAGGGCCAUCAUUUUAUUCAGUCUACUGAUGCAAAUGCUUAUCUCUUCUGGAAACACCUUCACAGACAGACCCAGAAUAUAGUUGAACCAAAUACUGGGCACCUCAUGGCUCCAACAGGUUGACACAAAAAAUGAACCAUUGCAGAAAACGAAGAACAGUCACCA
rnacentral:lncRNA from 1 species